rnacentral:rRNA from 1 species
AACGAACGCUGGCGGCAUGCCUAACACGUGCAAGUCGAACGAGACCUUCGGGUCUAGUGGCGCACGGGUGCGUAACGCGUGGGAAUCUGCCCUUGGGUUCGGAAUAACAGUUGGAAACGACUGCUAAUACCGGAUGAUGACGUAAGUCCAAAGAUUUAUCGCCCAAGGAUGAGCCCGCGUAGGAUUAGCUAGUUGGUGAGGUAAAGGCUCACCAAGGCGACGAUCCUUAGCUGGUCUGAGAGGAUGAUCAGCCACACUGGGACUGAGACACGGCCCAGACUCCUACGGGAGGCAGCAGUGGGGAAUAUUGGACAAUGGGCGAAAGCCUGAUCCAGCAAUGCCGCGUGAGUGAUGAAGGCCUUAGGGUUGUAAAGCUCUUUUACCCGGGAUGAUAAUGACAGUACCGGGAGAAUAAGCUCCGGCUAACUCCGUG